rnacentral:rRNA from 1 species
AUUGAACGCUGGCGGCAGGCCUAACACAUGCAAGUCGAACGAGUGGCGGACGGGUGAGUAAUGUAUGGGGAUCUGCCCGAUGGAGGGGGAUAACUACUGGAAACGGUGGCUAAUACCGCAUAAUAUCGGAUGUGCCCAGAUGGGAUUAGCUAGUAGGUGGGGUAAUGGCUCACCUAGGCGACGAUCCCUAGCUGGUCUGAGAGGAUGACCAGCCACACUGGAACUGAGACACGGUCCAGACUCCGACGGGAGGCAGCAGUGGGGAAUAUUGCACAAUGGGCGCAAGCCUGAUGCAGCCAUGCCGCGUGUAUGAAGAAGGCCUUCGGGUUGUAAAGUACUUUCAGCGAGGAGGCGUUACUCGCAGAAGAAGCACCGGCUAACUCCGUGCCAGCAGCCGCGGUAAUAC